rnacentral:rRNA from 1 species
UAACAAGGAUUCCCCUAGUAACUGCGAGUGAAGCGGGAAGAGCUCAAAUUUAAAAUCUGGCGGCUUCUAGUCGUCCGAGUUGUAACCUGGAGAGGCAUUUUCCGCGUUGGACCGUGUACAAGUCUCCUGGAAUGGAGCGUCAUAGAGGGUGAGAAUCCCGUCCAUGACACGGACCGCCGAUGCUCUGUGAUAUGCCUUCGAAGAGUCGCGUUGUUUGGGAAUGCAGCGCAAAAUGGGUGGUAAAUUCCAUCUAAAGCUAAAUAUUGGCGAGAGACCGAUAGCGAACAAGUACCGUGAGGGAAAGAUGAAAAGCACUUUGGAAAGAGAGUUAAACAGUACGUGAAAUUGUUGAAAGGGAAACGCUUGAAGUCAGUCGCGUUCCGUGGAACUCAGCCUUACUUCGGUUUGGUGUACUUUCCAUUUGAACGGGUCAACGUCAAUUUUGGCCGGUGGACAAAGACAAGGGGAAUGUAGCGUUGCUUCGGUGACGUGUUAUAGACCCUUGUUGUAUACACCGGUUAGGAUUGAGGACUGCAGCACGCCCUUGUGGCCGGGGGUUCGCCCCAUGUAACGUGCUUAGGAUGUUGGCAUAAUGGCUUUAAGCGACCCGUCUUGAAACACGGACCAAGGAGUCUAACAUGCUUGCGAGUGUUCGGGUGGAAAACCCUUGCGCGUAAUGAAAGUGAAAGUUAGGAACCUUCUCGCAAGAGAGGGUGCAUUGACGCCCGGCCCUGACGUUCUCUGACGGUGCUGCGGUAGAGCAAGUGCGUUGGGACCCGAAAGAUGGUGAACUAUGCCUGAAUAGGGCGAAGCCAGAGGAAACUCUGGUGGAGGCUCGUAGCGAUUCUGACGUGCAAAUCGAUCGUCAAAUUUGGG